AGUUGGCACCUGUGUGUUUUGUUUACAGACUUCAGUCUUGGGAUUGCAGUGAGGGAAUCCUUCCUUUCUCCUUCUGCAUUAACAGGGGAGGGGACUGUUUAUCCCUGAGAAAGGGUACUGGAACGGUUUAUGUUGUGUAUCCUUUGGGCUAGUUUUGUUUGCCCUGGAAGGGGAGGGCUUUAUAGUUUGGUUGAAGGGGUAACUGAUCUACCACAAAAAAAAUUGAAGGAUGGAUGCAAUUUGACAGAGGAAAGGAGAUACCUCUGGGAUUUAAAUAGAGACGUCUGAUCAGGGAAUUGGAAACCAUCUGCCACUGCAGAGUUACCACUGAUUAGAAACACCACUGGGAAAAGAAGACAAGCAUGGGAGGUGCACACCAGAAUCACACUUGAACCAAAGGAUCGAGAGACUGGACAACCUCUGCAGUUUGGCAGGAAAGGUUAUAGCAACAUAACAGCCAGCAUGCAGACCCGUUGGUAAUUGGACUUCUCAGGAGGGGCUCUUCAGGAAUGCUGCCUCUGGAUGCAUCUUCAGGUCCCCAGUGGCAGACGGAAGCCUGGCCAGCUGAAGCCCGUCACGGUGCCACUCAAAAGCCACGCUCAGCUUCGAUUCUUGAAUGUGGACAUUUCAGAAGACCGUGAGUAGGAAAUACUUGGAAUGACAUCUUGGGGAACUUGGAUGUGGUCCAUGUGUCUGACUUCCCACAAAAUCCUAAAAAAGAGAUGCUGUCAGACAGCCCUCCUGCAGCCAAGAUGGCUGAUCAGGGAGAACUUGCCCCUCUGAGGCUAGAGUGAAACUAUGGCUUAAAAAAAACUCGAGAGCAAACUAUUUUGAGGAAAAAUAUCUGAAGAGCCAACAAAUUACUAGCACGCAUCAAGCUAAUUUGCAAGGCUUGGCAUCAAGACUAGAAGAAGCUGAGAAUAGAAUCUUCUUACUAGAAGUCACAAUGAACACCUCAGAGCAACGGACAAGUGCUAUUGAAACACUGUAGGAGAAGGUUAAUGAUAUCAAAGGAAGAUCAAGGAUAAACAAUCUGAGAGUUUUCCAGACGUUCCGAAUUGGAAAAAAGGAGAGGCCUGUGAAAUUUUUAGCCACGAUAUUGCCUGUGCUUUUGUCUCUCUUCCCUGAUGAGAACUUCGAUAUUGAGAGAGCCAACCACACCUGAUUGCAAAGCCCCAGCCCAUAAUUGUAAGAUUUUUAAAAUACAGUAUUCAGGAACUCAUUCUUUAAAAAGCCUGUGAACUUAAACGUCUAGCAUGAUAGGGACACAGGCUGACGAUUUUCCUGGAUUACAGCUAGGAUGUGAUGGAAAAGAGGACUAAAUUCAAUAGCUCAAGAGCCCUAGCCAAAAGGUUUGGACUACUUUAUUUCCUUCCCCGCUCCUUUCAAAGUUAAAAAGGAUGCCAAGAUGUUUAGUUUUAUGACAGCAGAGGAAGCUGAAAGGUAUCUGAUCCCACUACGUCAAAAGACCCCUGCAGAAUAUGCAGAUGGGAUGUAUUAAAACAACUUUACCAGAUCAGGGCUGGAAUUCAGCUCUCCAUUUAGCAACAAUGGUACAGAGCCAACACAAUAUUUUGUCUCCACCCUUCUGCUUGUUUCCUUUCUUUGAACUUCCCCAGCUUCCCCAACAGAGGGAGCCAGCUGAGGAGCAAAGGGGUGGGGAAGAGGAUCUCCUCUUCGAUUUGAGGUCUGGCCCUCCAUCUGGAUGCAGGAAAUAGUUAUGAGCUCCUCCUGGUGUUAGCAGGUUGGAGUGUUACAGUAUUGACACAGCUACUUUGCUUGCAUCUACCUUACCUAGCCUCCCCAUGAUUCCAGUGCACAGGAAGCAUCUACCCUAUUCCCUUGUGAUUCCAGUGCGCCAGGAGCACAUCCUCCUUUGAGAUCCUGACUCCAAGCAAAUCGCUUAGCUAGACCUGGGGACUCGUUACACCUGUGGAUCGGCAAGGCCUUUUUAUCUGAGGCACUCUCCCUCCAGGGAUCUUUUCCAACUCCUCUCUUCCUCCUCCCUACUCACCCUCAAUGACUUUACUUUGUUUCAACCCAAAUUCUAGGAAAUUAGGUGGGGAUAACAGUAUUCCUGGAAACAGUCAACUCAUUUGCUCUAAAUGUACAGUACACUGACAAGAGAUACCAGAUUUAACCUGAGAUCAUCAUUAAACAAUGUAAUGAAGGACUCUGUUCAAUUCCUCAACUGUAAAGAAAUCUGAUCUCCCCCUAAAAUCCUAUUCAAGAAUAAUUAUCGCUGGUUAUGCUUCACCAAAUGACUGAGACUCACUUGUUUUUUAAAUAUUAUU